rnacentral:rRNA from 1 species
UACACUCCUACGGGAGGCAGCAGUGGGGAAUUUUGGACAAUGGGCGAAAGCCUGAUCCAGCCAUGCCGCGUGCAGGAUGAAGGCCUUCGGGUUGUAAACUGCUUUUGUACGGAACGAAACGGCCUUUUCUAAUAAAGAGGGCUAAUGACGGUACCGUAAGAAUAAGCACCGGCUAACUACGUGCCAGCAGCCGCGGUAAUACGUAGGGUGCAAGCGUUAAUCGGAAUUACUGGGCGUAAAGCGUGCGCAGGCGGUUAUGUAAGACAGUUGUGAAAUCCCCGGGCUCAACCUGGGAACUGCAUCUGUGACUGCAUAGCUAGAGUACGGUAGAGGGGGAUGGAAUUCCGCGUGUAGCAGUGAAAUGCGUAGAUAUGCGGAGGAACACCGAUGGCGAAGGCAAUCCCCUGGACCUGUACUGACGCUCAUGCACGAAAGCGUGGGGAGCAAACAGGAUUAGAAACCCCGGUAGUCCC